rnacentral:lncRNA from 1 species
GAGGAAGACGCCUCCCGCAGAGUAGCUCCGGCAUCUUCUUCCUUCCUCUUCGCCUCUCCGUGAGUAAAAGAAGCGGCCCCCGACCUAACCUUUCUGGUUCCGGGUAGAUGGGUUCCAUGGCGGCGCCGGUGGAGAAGGAGAUCAUCUUCCGCUCCAAGCUCCCCGAUAUAGAAAUCCCCAAUCAUCUCCCUCUCCACUCCUACUGCUUUCAGAACAUCGCCGCCGUCGCCGACAAGCCCUGUAUAAUCUACGGCCCCACCGGAAGAAUCUACACCUACGCGGAGGUGGAGCUCACCGCCCGGCGAGUCGCCGCCGGCCUCCAUGGCCUGGGUAUCCGCCAGGGGGACGUGAUCAUGGUGCUCCUCCCCAACUCACCGGAGUUCGUCUUCGCCUUCCUCGGGGCCUCCUUCCGGGGCGCCGCCACCACCACCGCCAACCCAUUCUACACUGCCGCAGAGAUCCACAAGCAGGCCGUCGCCGCCGGCGCCAGGCUCGUCGUGACUCAGUCCUGCCACGUGGAGAAGGUCCGCGGCCUGGAAGGGGUGAAGAUCGUCUGCACCGACUCGCCGGUGCCGGAAGGGUGCACCCACUUCUCCGAGCUCACCUCCGCCGACGAGACGGCUGCGCCGCCGGUGGAUCCCCAACCGGACGACGUGGUGGCGCUGCCCUUCUCCUCCGGCACCACGGGGCUCCCCAAGGGGGUGAUGCUCACCCACCGGGGCCUGGUCACCAGCGUGGCCCAGCAGGUGGACG